UUGUAUCUGGUCUGUAACUGGUCUCUCUCUUUAGUCAGGAUGUUGUAUCUGGUCUGUAACUGGUCUCUCUCUUCAGUCAGGUUGUUGUAUCUGGUCUGUAACUGGUCUCUCUCUUCAGUCAGGUUGUUGUAUCUGGUCUGUAACUGGUCUCUCUCUUCAGUCAGGUUGUUGUAUCUGGUCUGUAACUGGUCUCUCUCUGCAGUCAGGUUGUUGUAUCUGGUCUGUAACUGGUCUCUCUCUUCAGUCAGGUUGUUGUAUCUGGUCUGUAGCUGGUCUCUCUCUUCAGUCAGGUUGUUGUAUCUGGUCUGUAGCUGGUCUCUCUCUUCAGUCAGGUUGUUGUAUCUGGUCUGUAACUGGUCUCUCUCUUCAGUCAGGUUGUUGUAUCUGGUCUGUAACUGGUCUCUCUCUUCAGCCAGGUUGUUGUAUCUGGUCUGUAACUGGUCUCUCUCUUCAGCCAGGUUGUUGUAUCUGGUCUGUAACUGGUCUCUCUCUUUAGUCAGGUUGUUGUAUCUGGUCUGUAACUGGUCUCUCUCUUUAUUCAGGUUGUUGUAUCUGGUCUGUAACUGGUCUCUCU